rnacentral:lncRNA from 1 species
AAGUGACUCGCUCAGGGUCUUUUGGCAAACCGAAGCCUGGGUCGCCCAUCUUUGAGUUCUAGCUUUUCCCAGUCUAUCCUAACGCUUCUAAAGACCAGGCUUGCCGCAUGAGAAUUCACUGCUCAACUGUGUAUUUCUUGCUGUCUCUGCAGAUGAAAAGCUCCAUUCUGAACCUUCAACUGCUAGAAGUGGGGGAGUUAGACUUGUGGGCCCUAAAUGCCAAGAGGGUCUAGGAAGAAAAGGUUCUCAGACAUAUUCUCCUAUUUGAGUACCACUGUCCUGUGGAAGUUAUCUUGGUUCAAUUGCCAAUGCCAGAAAUAGGCUACUAGGGUGUUUCUUGUUUUUUUGUUUGUUUGCUCCUUUGAUAUUAGUUAUUAAUUGGACCAUGGGAGAUGAAAGGCAGGAAGAAAAUAAAUGGGUAGUUUUUAAUGUCCUUAUUUAUUUAUUUAUUUAUGUAUUUAUUGGUUACACCCUUGGCAUACAGAAGUUCCCAAGCCAGGGAUCAGACCACAGCACUGCCACAUGGCCACGGCAGUGACAAUGCCUGAUCCUUAACCCACUGAGCCACCUGGGAACUCCUUAGCUCCAUACUUUAAAACGGAAUACUUUUUUUUUUCUCGUUUUUAGGGCCUCACCUGCAGCAUAUGGAAGUUCCCAAGUUAGGGGCCGAGUCAAAGCUGCAGCUGCCGGCCUACGCUACAGCCAGAGAAAUGCCGGAUCUUUAACCCACUGAGCGAGGCCAGGGAUUGAACCUACAUCCUCAUGUAUGCUAGUCGGGUCCUUAACCUGCUGAGCCACAGUGGGAACUCCAAAACCGAAACCUUUGAGAGGAGGAAGAGCUAGCCUUGUGGCUGACUUUCUCUAGCUAAGCCAUGGAUACACCUGUAACCCUCAAAGAAUUGAUCCCAAUUUACCGAUGGGGAAGUGACAUCAGAGAGAGGCCAAGCACUUGCCCAGGGUCAUUUGAUCACAGGAAACAGCCUUUCGGAAGCCUUGUUCCAGAAUUUGUGCUUCUAGUCCCAGAGGAUGGGGCUCCAGGCGCAAUACACACUGCUCUUCUCCAGACCUAUCCUGAGAGUUAUCCUCAGUAGGAGGUUGGUAUGAAUUAUCUGGGCCACCAUCACUUCUUUUCUAUAUCUCAAGAAGAAAUGAAGCAGGCCUUAAAAGUAAAAAGAAGUGGAGUUCCCGUUGUGGCGCAGCGGAAAUGAAUCCAACUAGGAACCAUGAGGUGGCAGGUUUGAUCCCUGGCCUUGCUCAGUGGGUUAAGGAUCUGGCGUUGCCGUGAACCGUGGUGUAGGUCGCAGACAUGCCUCAGGUCUGGUGUUGCUGUGGCUGUGGUGUAGGCUGGCAACUACAGCUCUGAUUCAACCCCUAGCCUGGGAACCUCCAUGUGCCGAGAGUGCAGGCCUAAAAAGACAAAUAGACCAAAAAAAAGAAAAAGUAAAGAGGUGUGGAAGAGUCCAAGAGUCCAAGGAUUUAAUGCUUCUUUAUUUUAUUUUAUUUUACAAUAUUUCUCUAUUUUUUUAACUUCUGUUAUUUAAGUGACUUAGAAACAUAUCCUGAAGAUCUAAACAGACAGUUCUCCAAAGAAGACAUACCGAUGGCCAAAAAACACAUGAAAAGAUGUUCAACAUCACCCAUUAUUAGAGAAAUGCAAAUCAAAAGCACUAUGAGGAACCACCUUACACCAGCCAGAAUGGCCAUCAUCAAAAAGAGGGUGUGGAGAAAAUGGAACCCUAUUACACUGUUGGUGGGAAUGUAAAUUGGUGCAACCACUGUGGAAAACAGUAUGGAGAUUCCUCAGAAAACUAAAAAUAGAUCUACCUUUUGAUCCAGCAAGCCCAGUCCUGGGCAUCUAUCCAGAGAAAACCAUGACUCGCAAAGACACAUGUACUCCCAUGUUCACCGCAGCACUAUAUGCAAUAGCCAAGACAUGGAAACAACCUAAAUGUCCAUCAACAGAGGAGUGGCUCAAGAAGAUGUGGUACAUAUACACAAUGGAAUAUUACUGAGCCAUUACAAGGAACGAAAUACCUGCAUUUUUAGCAACAUGGAUGGACUUAGAAAUUAUCCUAUGAAGUCAGCCAUACAAUGAGACACCAACAUCAAAUGCUUUCACUGACAUGUGGAAUCUGAAAAAAGGACAGACUGAACUUCUUUGCAGAGCAGAUGCUGACUCACAGACUUUGAAAAACGUAUGGUUUCCAAAGGAGACAGUUUGAGGGGUGGGGGGAU